rnacentral:rRNA from 1 species
UGCGUAGGUGGUCUUGUAAGCGUGGGGUGAAAGGCAGUGGCUUAACCAUUGUUAGCCUUGCGAACUGUGAGACUUGAGUGCAGGAGAGGAAAGUGGAAUUCCUAGUGUAGCGGUGAAAUGCGUAGAUAUUAGGAGGAACACCAGUGGCGAAGGCGACUUUCUGAACUGUAACUGACACUGAGGCACGAAAGCGUGGGGAGCAAACAG